rnacentral:rRNA from 1 species
UACAGAGGGGGCAAGCGUUGUUCGGAAUUACUGGGCGUAAAGGGCGCGUAGGCGGCCGUGUAAGUCACUUGUGAAAUCCCCGGGGCUCAACCCCGGGGCUGCAGGUGAGACUGCGUGGCUAGAGCACGGUAGAGGCGAGUGGAAUUCCCGGUGUAGCGGUGGAAUGCGUAGAUAUCAGGAGGAACACCGGUGGCGAAGGCGGCUUCCUGGACAAAAACUGACGCUGAGGCGCGAAAGCUAGGGGAGCAAACAGG